AACGAACGCUGGCGGCAGGCUUAACACAUUCAAAUCGAGCGCCCCGCAAGGGGAGCGGCAGACGGGUGAGUAACGCGUAGGAAUGUACCCAUCCCUACGGAAUAACGCAUGGAAACGUUUGCUAAUACCGUAUACGUCCUUCGGGAGUAAGAUUUAUCGGAGAUGGAUGAGCCCGCGUUGGAUUGGCUAGUUGGUGGGGUAAAGGCCUACGAAGGCGACGAUCCAUAGCUGGUCUGAGAGGAUGAUCAGCCACACUGGGACUGAGACACGGCCCAGACUCCUACGGGAGGCAGCAGUGGGGAAUAUUAGACAAUGAGCGCAAGCGUAAUCCAGCCAUGCCGCGUGAGUGAUGAAGGCCCUAGGGUUGUAAAGCUCUUUCACCGGUGAAGAUAAUGACGGUAACCGGAGAAGAAGCCCCGGCUAACUUCGUGCCAGCCGCCGCAGUAAGAC
rnacentral:rRNA from 1 species